rnacentral:rRNA from 1 species
AUUGAACGCUGGUGGCAUGCUUUACACAUGCAAGUCGAACGGUAACAGGUUAAGCUGACGAGUGGCGAACGGGUGAGUAAUGCAUCGGAACGUGCCCGAUCGUGGGGGAUAACGCAGCGAAAGCUGCGCUAAUACCGCAUACGAUCUGAGGAUGAAAGCGGGGGACCGUAAGGCCUCGCGCGAUCGGAGCGGCCGAUGUCAGAUUAGGUAGUUGGUGGGGUCAAGGCCCACCAAGCCGACGAUAUGUAGCUGGUCUGAGAGGACGACCAGCCACACGUGGACUGAGACACGGCCCAGACUCCUACGGGAGGCAGCAGUGGGGAAUUUUGGACAAUGGGCGAAAGCCUGAUCCAGCAAUGCCGCGUGCAGGAAGAAGGCCUUCGGGUUGUAAACUGCUUUUGUACGGAGCGAAAAGGCUCUCUCUAAUACAGGGGGCUCAUGACGGUACCGUAAGAAUAAGCACCGGCUAACUACGUGCCAGCAGCCGCAGUAAAAC